rnacentral:rRNA from 1 species
CAGCAGCAGCCACGGGAAUACGAAGGGGGCUAGCGUUGCUCGGAAUGACUGGGCGUAAAGGGCGCGUAGGCGGCGAUCAAAGUCAGGCGUGAAAUUCCUGGGCUCAACCUGGGGGCUGCGCUUGAUACUUGGUUGCUUGAGUGGGGAAGAGGGUCGUGGAAUUCCCAGUGUAGAGGUGAAAUUCGUAGAUAUUCGGAAGAACACCAGUGGCGAAGGCGACUCACUGGCCCGUUACUGACGCUGAGGCGCGAAAGCGUGGGGAGCAAACAGGAUUAGAUACCCCAGUAGUCCCUGUCUCUUAUAC